UACAGAGGUGGCAAGCGUUGUUCGGAAUUACUGGGCGUAAAGGGCGCGUAGGCGGCCUUCUAAGUCAGACGUGAGAUCCCCCGGCUUAACCUGGGAACUGCGUCUGAUACUGGGAGGCUUGAGUAUGGGAGAGGGAUGUAGAAUUCCAGGUGUAGCGGUGAAAUGCGUAGAUAUCUGGAGGAAUACCGGUGGCGAAGGCGGCCAUCUGGACGACAACUGACGCUGAGACGCGAAAGCGUGGGGAGCAAACAGG
rnacentral:rRNA from 1 species